CCCAGACUCCUACGGGAGGCAGCAGUGGGGAAUAUUGCACAAUGGGGGGAACCCUGAUGCAGCGACGCCGCGUGGGUGAAGGAGUACUUCGGUACGUAAAGCCCUAUCAGCAGGAAAGAAAAUGACGGUACCUGACUAAGAAGCCCCGGCUAACUACGUGCCAGCAGCCGCGGUAAUACGUAGGGGGCAAGCGUUAUCCGGAUUUACUGGGUGUAAAGGGAGCGUAGACGGCAGUGCAAGUCCGGAGUGAAAGCCCGGGGCUCAACCCUGGGACUGCUCUGGAAACUGUAAAGCUGGAGUGCGGGAGGGGCAGGCGGAAUUCCUGGUGUAGCGGUGAAAUGCGUAGAUAUCAGGAGGAACACCGGCGGCGAAGGCGGCCUGCUGGACCGUGACUGACGUUGAGGCUCGAGAGCGUGGGGAGCAAACAGGAUUAGAUACCCGUGUACG
rnacentral:rRNA from 1 species